CCCUUAGAUGUCCUGGGCCGCACGCGUGCUACACUGACGCAUACAGCGAGCACUUUCCAGUUCCGAGAGGCUACUGGUAAUCAUCAAUAUGCGUCGUGAUGGGGAUAGAUCUUUGGAAUUCUGGAUCUUGAACGAGGAAUGCCUAGUAAUCGCAGGUCAUUAGCCUGCGAUGAUUAAGUCCCUGCCCUUUGUAUACACCGCCCGUCGCUACUACCGAUUUCGAGUGGUCAGGUGAAUCUUUCGGACUGUGGGCGCCCUUGAGGUGUUCGCGGAAAGUCAGGUAAAUCUUAUCACUUAGAGGAAGUAAAAGUCGUAACA
rnacentral:rRNA from 1 species